GAAGUCGGAAUUGCUAGUAAUGGCAGGUCAGCAUACUGCCGUGAAUACGUUCCCGGGCCUUGUACACACCGCCCGUCACACCAUGAGAGUUGGGAAUACCCGAAGCCUGUGAGCCAACAAACGAGGCAGCAGUCGAAGGUAGAAUCAAUGAUUGGGGUGAAGUCGUAACAAGGUAUC
rnacentral:rRNA from 1 species